GGUUGAUCCUGCCAGUAACAUAUGCUUGUCUCAAAGAUUAAGCCAUGCAUGUCUAAGUAUAAACAAAUUUAUACUGUGAAACUGCGUACAGCUCAUUAAAUCAGUCAUUAUUUAUUUGAUGGUUUCUUACUACAUGGAUACCCGUAGUAAUUCUAGAGCUAAUACAUGCAAAAAAUCCCGACGCAAGAAGGGAUGUAUUUAUUAGAUAAAAAACCAAUGCACCUCUGGUGGUUUCUGGUGAUUCAUAAUAACUGAUCGAAUCGGAUGACCUUGUGUCGCCGAUAGUUCAUUCA
rnacentral:rRNA from 1 species